UGGAAGAAAAAGUGCUGCUUCUCUCUCAUCGGUGGCUAUGAUAACAUGGGAAACGCACUGGGCCACUGGAUUAAGCAUGGAGAUCGAGUGUAUGAAGAUCAGUGUAAAAUACUAAUACAACAAAAUAUACACCUGGUCAGGCUCAGGCAAUCAAUACCAGCCGUGGCCCUGAAGGAGAACCCUGACAGCCGCUACUCCGGAUCCAUGCCAUUCCGGCUACUGCCCCACCAUCAGUCAACCUCAUACCACACAUACAAGAUGGAUAGACUUACCUACACAUAAAUAGCAUAUUUACACACGUAGAGUUAAGAAAAGAAAAUGAGAACUGAGCCACUGGAAGAGAACAGUGACGAUAACAACAAAUGAUGCUGUCAGAUACUGUUACAGGGUUAUGUCAAGUAAAAACUGUCUAUAAUAAUUAAUAAUAUGAAAUGUGUAUUUUAUCAGUGGCUCAGUAGCACAACGUUUAGCACUGUUGCCUCACAGUAAGAAGUUUCUGAGACUGACUCCACUAUCUGGCCGGGACCUUUCUGUGUGGAGUUUGCAUCUUCUCCCCUUGUUUGUGUGAGUACUCUUAAGGUACUCCAGCUUCCUCCCACGGUGGAAAAAAAUGAAGUUAGGUUAGGUUAAUUGGUAAUUCUAAAUUGCCCAUUAAUAAGUAUCUGUCUGUCUGUGUUAGUCCUGACAGACUGGCGACCUGUUGAGGGUAUACCCUGCCUCUUCCCCUAUGAUAGCUGGGUUAGGUUCCUCUACCACAGACAGAAUAGAUGAAUGGAUUUUAUCUUUGUCUCUAGUAGUUGAAGUGCUGUGUAUACCCAAAAUUAAUAAAUUACUGUAUUUCAUCACACC
ensembl:lncRNA